UACGGGGGGGGCAAGCGUUGUUCGGAAUUACUGGGCGUAAAGGGCUCGUAGGCGGCCAACUAAGUCGGACGUGAAAUCCCCAGGCUCAACCUGGGAACUGCGUCCGAUACUGGAUGGCUUGAAUCCGGGAGAGGGAUGCGGAAUUCCAGGUGUAGCGGUGAAAUGCGUAGAUAUCUGGAGGAACACCGGUGGCGAAGGCGGCAUCCUGGACCGGCAUUGACGCUGAGGCGCGAAAGCCAGGGGAGCAAACGGG
rnacentral:rRNA from 1 species